UCCUCUCGGCAUUCAAGUUUCCCUUUAUCACAGCUUUAAAUCUUUUCUAAAUCAACAUGUAAACACAUGCAUCAUGUGAACAAGGAAUUAAAUCGAAAUAGCAAAGGAAGGAGAAGUGAAAAGCUCAUUGGGGUCGGCCCCCUUCUUUGGCAAAUUGGCACCUCGAUUCUCCAAUAAACUCGACCACUCUUCUCUCUUCUCCGUCACGCUUCUGCUUGACAGGGGGGUAGCAGACCACUCUAUUCAUACUCGCCCCUAAAUUUCAUAGCAGGCCAAAUCUUUGUGUGCGUGGCAACAGAAAAACCGUAGGAUCAAGCCUCACUAAUGGUAAUUUCAUACUUUUUAUCCGAGUGAAAUCUGGGUCGUUGGAUCUCUUUAUUCCACAAAUUGGGACUGUUGGUUCUCUUGGCCAUUCGAUCUUCUUGGCUUUUAGUCCUAGCCGCUUGUUUUCGAAUUAUCCCUUAGCCGUUCGAUCGACAUCUAGAAUCCUAGCAGUCGGAUCUGCACACCCUCCUGCUUGUGUGGCUGACAACACGUGCAGGUCAGCUGGUGUGGUUGUCCACAUGGCAGGGUGUUAUUGGUCAGUCUCAUUUGCGGAGGUGUCCUACCUUUCUAAAGUUAUGUUAUUCCCCCUUCCGCUUAAUUUUCUUUCAUCUAGUUUCCUAAGUAAUUACAAUUUUGCCCCUUUCUAAUAUUUGCUUUUCAAUUA
rnacentral:lncRNA from 1 species